CCCCCUUCCCCCUCCCUGGGUGAAGCUGCAGGUUGAGCCCCUGAUCCACAGGUAUCAGGCGUGCCCCUGGGGUUCAUCUGGUCCCCCUACCUUCAGAGUCAUCCCUCAGCCUGCAGUCGUCCUUGACCGUGGCGUCUCCUUCGCAGGGCUCCUCCGGGGCGAGGCUCCCCUCCCCGGGGGAGGUGCAGGACUCCUCUUCCUCGGCGGGAGGAGGAAGAGGAGGAGGAGUCGCGGCACUCGGUUGGUCCGCUGCUGCUGCGGAGGAGGAGGAGGUGGAGGAGGAGGUGGUGGGGUUGAUGGAGGCCCUGGAAGACAGAGGGGGGUGAGGAGAGGGUGAAGUAACUGCGGGAGAGAGGAGAGAGGAGCACGCCUCAUUAUCAGCCGGGUUCCUGGGAGUGUAAAGGGAGUCUGGGCAGCCGGAGGGGCGCCUGAGGUGGUCUGUGGAGUCCAUCCUGCUGCUGGGGGCGACCGGGUUCAGACUGGGGAGGAAGGUCACUAUCAGGCCUGGCGCCGCCGUCAUUGAUACCCGUUUAAUAUUUUGUAACGUCGUCUAUCUUUACCUUCUAAUACCCCAGGGGAAAAAGCCUCGACAUGUUUCGAUGGGUAGUGGUUUUCACCUCUUGAAAUUGAUUUAUUAUCAUUUUGAAAGAAACAACACAUGGCAGCAAUGGAAAACGGCAUCUCUCGUUCGGUUGUUUAGAACAGAAAAUCCGGUUGCCAGGACAACGUGACGUUUUCACUUUAGUACUCUAUUGCGUCAAACUACUCCAGCAGCUAUCUGUAAAUCCAAUGUUCUGCAAAAUAAAUAACUCUGUUGUACUAGUGCCUCGUGGCUCUGUGGUCGGCUGUCCAAAGGUUUCAACCAGGUGGACUAGUUUGGAAGACACCAAUCAGGGAUGUCCUCCACAAGGUCACGGUCCUGGUCGCCCCUCCCGCUACGCUGGUCUCCGCCCCGCUGGUCUCUGCCCCUCCCCACUGGUCUCUGCCCCUCCCCACUGGUCUGUGCCCCUCCCCACUGGUCUCUACCCCUCCCCACUGGUCUCUGCCCCUCCCCACUGGUCUGUGCCCCCACUACCUGCUCGACCGGACCUCUUUCGGUCGGAGGGGCUCACAGCAGGGGGACCUUUAUUUAUGGCUUCUGUCCGUUAGUGGAACCGUGGCGUUCUCCAGGUCUCCUCCUAGGCCUUUGACUAGAACCGUUCUGCAGGUCUCCUCCUAGGCCUUUGACUAGUACUGUUCUGCAGGUCUCCUCCUAGGCCUUUGACUAGUACUGUUCUGCAGGUCUCCUCCUAGGCCUUUGACUAGUACUGUUCUGCAGGUCUCCUCCUAGGCCUCUGACUGUCGUCAGGAAGCAGGGAGGAUUCAGGGUAUCUUCGUCAAGGACGCCCACAGUCAAAUACUGAGCAGGGUGUCAAACCUCCUAAUUACUAGACUGUCCUGCUUGCUAAUUGAAGGGGAUAUUGAUUUAUUGCAUUGGGACCCGUCUCUACUUAAGUUUUAAGUAAAGCAACAAAAAUCAACAUCCUCUAAAAUUGUGAUUUAUCGGUCUACAAAAAGAUGUCUCCCUUUGCCUUUGUCUUUUACUACUGGGAAAUGUAUUUCAGGUUUGAACCCCCAUAAAAACUAAACAACACAAUAACAUAAUAAAAUAAUUUUCAUCAUUUUCUGCAGUUGCAAUAAAAGUUACAACCACAGUUUCCCAACAACCGUAACCUUUACCUGGAAGCAGCUCCACUCCGCUGAAGGCUUAAUGUGCACCAUAAUGACCAACAUAAUUCCUAUUUAUCUUACUUUUCCAGCAUAAGAAUAAUCACACAUUAUUCAAAGUGGAGGCAGGCUGCUGGCCCAUCUCCCUAUCACAGGGACAGGAACCGACUGCCAAGAAGCAGCGCUCCUUAGAAGGCUGUACAUAGCCCCCAGCGGCUGACCCCCCCACAUCCCCAAACACUGCGUCAGAGCAUUCAGUGAAGGGGGGGCCCAUCAACACUAAUUAAAGACAGCGCCCAAACACACAUUCCUG
ensembl:lncRNA